CUGCAGAAUAUUUGUGGCCUCUCUCAGAGCCUGGGAGACACACUUGACAUAGUGAGGACAGGUCACCUGUAUCAACCCUCCCCCAGAAUUAGGUUGCUAUUAGUUGACUCCAGGGAUAUCACUUACCUCUAUCUGAUGAGAUGAGCAAGUGGCCUUUAUGCAGCUGCCAUCACAUCACCCUGAAGGCUGAAGUUUAGCUCCAGAGACUAGCAGUGGAUGAAAAUGGAGAGAGAGAACUAAGAAUGUUACCGGACACGUAACAUAUGCUGGUCAGGACCAGCCACAUAAUUUGCAAGGCCCAGUGCAAAAUAAAAAUGCGAGGUCUCUUGUUCAAAAAUUAUUAAGAAUUUCAAGACACCAAGAGUAGAGCAUUAAACCAAGCAUGGAGCCCUUUCAAGCAUGGGACCUUGAGUGACUACAUAGGUCACACAUCCAUGAGGCCAGUCCGGCUUAGGAGACACAGGUGCUGGAGAAAAACGUGUGAACAAGGCAGACAUAGUCCCUGCCUUCAAGGAGAUUACAGUCUACUGAGGAAGGGAGAUAUUGGACAAACACAUACAAAAGAGAAAAACAGGUGCAAUGAAUGUGCAUGAUAAGGGGUCCUAACCUGGCCAGGGGAAUGAAGGAAGGCUUCCUAAAGGAUAAGAAGUUCAAGGUAAGA
rnacentral:lncRNA from 1 species